GUUCUCGGUGGUAUAGUGGCAGUACACGCCCCUGGUAUGGGUCAAACGCGGGUUCAAUUUCCGCCUGAAACA